AUUGAACGCUGGCGGCAGGCCUAACACAUGCAAGUCGAACGGUAGCACAGAGAGCUUGCUCUCGGGUGACGAGUGGCGGACGGGUGAGUAACGUCUGGGAAACUGCCCGAUGGAGGGGGAUAACUACUGGAAACGGUAGCUAAUACCGCAUAACGUCGCAAGACCAAAGUGGGGGACCUUCGGGCCUCACACCAUCGGAUGUGCCCAGAUGGGAUUAGCUAGUAGGUGGGGUAAUGGCUCACCUAGGCGACGAUCCCUAGCUGGUCUGAGAGGAGGACCAGCCACACUGGAACUGAGACACGGUCCAGACUCCUACGGGGGGCAGCAGUGGGGAAUAUUGCACAAUGGGCGCAAGCCUGAUGCAGCCAUGCCGCGUGUAUGAAGAAGGCCUUCGGGUUGUAAAGUACUUUCAGCGGGGAGGAAGGCGGUGGAGUUAAUAACUUCACCGAUUGACGUUACCCGCAGAAGAAGCACCGGCUAACUCCGUGCCAGCAGCCGCGGUAA
rnacentral:rRNA from 1 species